rnacentral:rRNA from 1 species
GACGUAGGUCGCAAACGUUAUCCGGAAUUAUUGGGCGUAAAGGGUGCGUAGAUGGUAUGAUAAGUUAGCAGUGGUAAAUCGAGGCUCAACCUCGUGGAAGCUGGUAAUACUGUUAUACUCGAGUGCAGGAGAGGUUAACGGAACUCCAUGUGGAGCGGUAAAAUGCGUAGAUAUAUGGAAGAACAUCAAUAACGGCGAAGGCAGUUAACUAUUCUGCUACUGACAUUGAGGCACGAAAGCGUGGGGAGCAAAAAGG